rnacentral:ribozyme from 1 species
UUGCAAAGAAGGUAAAGAGAAAUGGUAGAAAUAAGGGAAGAGGAGGAAAGAAAUCAAAGAAAUCAGGAGGAUGGUUCUCUAGCUGGUGGUAAUUAUCUAUUUUUAUCAUUUGCGUGCGAUUUUUGUUUUUUAUUUGUGUGAAUGUGAUCCAAAAAGUGU